rnacentral:rRNA from 1 species
UGGGGAAUUUUGGACAAUGGGCGAAAGCCUGAUCCAGCAAUGCCGCGUGUGUGAAGAAGGCCUUCGGGUUGUAAAGCACUUUUGUCCGGAAAGAAAUCCUUGGCUCUAAUACAGUCGGGGGAUGACGGUACCGGAAGAAUAAGCACCGGCUAACUACGUGCCAGCAGCCGCGGUAAUACGUAGGGUGCAAGCGUUAAUCGGAAUUACUGGGCGUAAAGCGUGCGCAGGCGGUUUGCUAAGACCGAUGUGAAAUCCCCGGGCUCAACCUGGGAACUGCAUUGGUGACUGGCAGGCUAGAGUAUGGCAGAGGGGGGUAGAAUUCCACGUGUAGCAGUGAAAUGCGUAGAGAUGUGGAGGAAUACCGAUGGCGAAGGCAGCCCCCUGGGCCAAUACUGACGCUCAUGCACGAAAGCGUGGGGAGCAAACAGGAUUAGAUACCCUGGUAGUCCACGCCCUAAACGAUGUCAACUAGUUGUUGGGGAUUCAUUUCCUUAGUAACGUAGCUAACGCGUGAAGUUGACCGCCUGGGGAGUACGGUCGCAAGAUUAAAACUCAAAGGAAUUGACGGGGUCAUAGCUGUUUCC